AAAGUCUGUGAGAGUCUAGAAGUACCUGAAUGACUCACUUUCUAGAAAACACAAGUUUAUUUGAUGAAGAAACCUGUGUUUGGUUUUUACAUUUCUUCAUGUGUGGCUAUCAUUGAGCCUUGAUUGAGGAAAUUUGGAUACCGUGUGGAGGGGUAUAAAAAGCUCUUUCAAAUUUUUUGAGUUCUGAUUAAGAUGACGAAAGUCCCACUGUGGUCACUUUAAAUAGUGUUCAUUAUGUAGUUUUUUUUAAAAAAGAGAAUGAUUGGAUAGGGUACUCCCUGAGUUUAUGGAAUACUAAGGAAAACCAUUCAAGAGUUUAAAUAUGCUGUCAUCAACAUCGCCGCCAACAAGAAUUAUCCCACAAUUAUUUACAUGCCAAAAAUUCAUUAGGAAAAAUAUGAACAGAUUUUGUUUGGCCUGGGUGAGGCUUGUCCAGGUCUUAUGUGUAAACAUAAGGUAUUUUUUAGAAUCAGGGAAUUUUUUCACUUGAGACUUCCUAUCUAGUUGUUACUCUGUGUGUGUGUGUGUGUGUGUGUGUGUGUGUUACAUGUGUGGUGUCAUGUAUGUGUCUGUGUAGGUGUGAGUUCACAUGUAUUUGAAUGCCUCUGGAGGUCAGAGGUUGACCUCUGGCAUCUUGUUUUUGAGACAGGGCCUCUCAGUGAACCUGGAGCUCACUGAUUUAGCUAGAGAGGCUGGCUAAAUCAGGAAUCUGCUAGCUCUCUCAUCCCUUCUUCCCUUCAGCAAUGGGGUUAAAUAUGCAUCCUCUGCACCAGCCUUCCCAUGGGUGUUGAAGCUCUGAAUUCAGGUCCUCAUGCAUCCAUGGCAGGUGCAUUGCCAUUUGAGCCAACUGCCCAGGCGUAUCUCAGAUGAUGCCCUUGUAUCUGUUCCUGGCACUUAGGUUGCCUGCCCUAUACAAGUGCGUGCGUGUGUGUGUGUGUGUGUGUGUGUGUGCGCGCGCGCGCGCGCGCGCGCGCGCGCGCAUGUACAAUAGAUAGAAAGAUGGAGAGAGAGAGCGAGAGAGCGAGCGAGCGAGAGAGAGAGAGAGAGAGAGAGAGAGAGAGAGAGAUAUCUUACGCAUUUUCGUCCACCACAGUACUUUAAAUGUUACAGUUGACCAAUGUAUAUUGGAUGGCACUCAUGAUUCAUUUAGAUUUUAUGCUUUAAAAAAAAAAUACUUUCUAAGACUUUUAGAUUCUAGUCCAGUUGAAACAGCCUUUUGUCUUUUACGCUCAUAAGACUGUAGACUGUUCUCGAUGAAUGGUGCAUCUUUUUAGAAAAUUCCUUCGCUAAGUGGGAAAACAGCCUUAGGGAGGUUAAGUGACUGUCCCAGCUCACUAGCUAGUUAGUGAUGGUAUUCAGACCAGGAUAUAACUUAAGGUGCAGUUGAAAGCAGCUACUUACUGCUUUUUUAAAAACUAAAUGUUGCUUCAUGGUGGUGAUAAUGGUAUAAUUUAUCAGUGUCCAAGUGUUUGUUUACACUGGUUAUGCACACAGAACAGUAAACAUUAUCAUCAAGUCUAUGUAACAUCAAUAAAGGGUUUUAUUCUGAAAAUGAUCUUUAGUGGAGACAUUUAAAAACAGAGAAAUGUGGUGAAUAGAAUGGCAGGAUGGAGACAGCAGUUACAGGUGACUGCAGUGACAGGUGAGAGCAGUGACAGGUGACUGACAGCACUGACAGGUGACCACAGUGACAAGUGACUGACAGCAGUGACAGGUGACAGCAGUGACAGGUGACUGUCAGUGACAGGUGACCACAGUGACAAGUGACUGACAGCAGUGAUGGCGACCGCAGUGACAGACAGGUGUCAGCAGUGACAGUUGACACCCGUGAAGCAUUGACAGGAAGAAGACAUGGGAGCAUGUGGAGAAUUAGCCUUGUGCUUAGUGCUGUGGAUGCCAAUAUUCUCAUAGUUCUAAUAUAAAACUGUACAUCUCUAAAAAUAAAAAAAAUCUAGGAUAUUUUGGUAACAUUCCGUUGUAAUGGUGUAAUCUUGCUUUUGGAUUCAACAUAUUACUUUAUAUAAAGUAAUGCAAGCACGUAAUUUGGUUUUAAUAGCUUCAGUUUUAUUAGGAACAGAAUAUAAAGAUGCAAUCUCAGGGCUGGCAGCAUUUGGGAGUAUAAUUGGACAGUGCAGCGUGAUUUAGGCUGUUGUAUGAGAUGACUCUUCUGUUUAGGUCAUCAACUGCCUACAUCAUGCAAUUCCUGUAAUUUUGAAGCGCUUUGAACACAUUCAGCUUCAAUUAUCUGACAGGUGUUCUCGUUCAGAAUUUUGGAUUUCCGUGGCUUUGAGCUCUAGAGAUGAUUUAAGUUAUUUCCUCUUUAUUAGCCCAGAAGAUUAGGGCAAGAAAGAAGAAAAUGGUGGUAUCCUUCCUCUACCUAUGUCUGGGCAGCAGGGGGCGUGCUUGCUUUGUGUCCUCAGGGCAUUAGUUGGGCCUAGCCUGUUCACUAAUCACUUCCAUUGUGAAUUUGAUCACUGAGGUCUCAGUGGCACCCUAAAGUUGGCUGAUCCGAAUAACUAACCACUCAGAGUUAGGAUUCAACUAAGAGUUGACUAUACAAGACAUGUUCUUCAGGAGAAUGUGACUUGGCCUUUGAUCAGUUGGGGAUUGGGGCCAUCUCACUAACAUGCCAUAGGACGGAUAAUUUGUGACUCACCUUUGAAGUGUGAUGGAUGUUCAGGCCCUGACAGUUGGUCCUUUGACCACAGGAAAGUCACUUUCAAGAUUUUCGGGGCAUCUCUUGUGAAUGUACCUGCAUGUGUGGGAGAUCAAGGGACUGGGCUUCCUUUUCAUUCACUCUCUCUCCUUCCUGUGGUUCUCUUCCCUUCCCAGGGAUUCAACAACACAUGCUGGUUUUUUUGGAAUUCCUCCCCUUUAAAUGGAAAUAUUUUCAAUACUACUCUAGGACCUGGGGUUAUGUACUUUACUGUAAAAGGAUGUGAGGUGGGGGUCUUAGCUAGUGUUUUUUUUUCUGAACAUGGGCACUUGUAAUUGGCCUAUGGUGUUUUGUUUGGCUUGAAAUCCUUGAGUAAUAACCAUCUUUGCUGUGUCGUGAUGUUCCUGGUUUUGGUGACAACCCAAGAUGGCAUCCCUAAUCUCAGAAUGGUGCCGUUCAUUGUCCAUUUAAUGAUCAGUUUCCAAAACGUUCUUUUUUACUUCCUACAAAAAUCAUUUUGUGGUCACCCCACGAUCAAACAAGCCUUUAUUGUCGUAUUGAAAAGACCUGGCAUUAGUUUCCUUUGAUUUCAGGACAUAAUAGAAAAAUAGUCCACAUUGAGAAAUAAAUAAACUGACCAAACAAAAGAGCUCGCUUCUGUCUAUGGUGACAGACAUAUUUUGAUGGGUUUAGAUUCCUUUCAUUUUCCAGAGUAUAAUUAAAAUAGCAACAAUUAUAAAAGCAGCCUUUCUUGCCAAAAUUGGAAGAAUUUCAAAAUUCAAAAAAAAAAGUAAAGAUCCCCAAA